UUUUAGUAGAGUUUGAUCCUAGCUCAGGAUGAACGCUGGCGGCGUGGAUAAGGCAUGCAAGUCGAACGAACCAGUCCUAUGACCUAAUGAAAUUUUUCAAGUAGCAAUACAAGAAAAACAGAUUUAAUGAUUAGGGUUGCUGGUUAGUGGCAGACGAGGUAGUAAUACGUAGGAACUUACCCCUAAGUCAUGAAUAACUCACCGAAAGGUGUGCUAAUACAUGAUGGUCCGGUAACGGUAAAGAUUUAUCGCUUAGGGAGAGGCCUGCGCAGUAUCAGCUAGUUGGUGAGGUAAUUGCUUACCAAGGCUAUGACGCUUAGGGGAGCUGAGAGGCUGACCCCCACCGAGGGAACUGAGACACGGUCCCUACACCUACGGGUGGCUGCAGCCGAGAAUAUUCCGCAAUGGACGCAAGUCUGACGGAGCGACGCCGCGUGAUGGAUGAAGCCUUUUGGGGUGUAAACAUCUUUUAUAAGGGAGGAAGUUUAUUGACGUUACUUUAUGAAUAAGGGGCUCCCAAUCUCGUGCCAGCAGGAGCGGUAAUACGAGAGCCUCGAGCGUUAUCCGGAAUCAUUGGGCGUAAAGGGUGUGUAGGUGGUCGCAUUAGUCUUUUGGUAAAUCCCUGGGCUUAACUCAGGACAAUUAAAGGAAACGGUGCGACUAGAGUAUGUGAGAGGUGUACGGAACUCUCGGUGUAGGGGUGAAAUCCGUUGAUAUCGAGGGGAACACCAAAAGCGAAGGCAGUACACUAGCGCAUAACUGACACUAAAACACGAAAGCGUGGGUAGCGAAUGGGAUUAGAUACCCCAGUAGUCCACGCCCUAAACGAUCUUCUCUCGCUUUUCGGAGUAUCGACCCUCUGAGAGGCUAAGCUAACGCGUUAAGAGAAGCGCCUGGGAAGUACGGCCGCAAGGCUAAAACUCAAAGGAAUAGACGGGGACUCGCACAAGCGGUGGAUCAUGUGGUUUAAUUCGACGGUAACCGAAGAACCUUACCAAGGCUAGAAAUCUAUUCGAAAGCAUGCAGAAAUGUAUGCCCUCGCAAGACGGAUAGACAGGUGCUGCAUGGCCGUCGUCAGUUCGUGGCUUGAGCUGUUCCCUUAAGUGGGGAAACGAACGCAACCCUCGUUGUCUGUUACAAGUGUCAGACAAGACUGCCUAGCCCUUUGAAUGCAAACGAAAGUUUGUUGGCAAAGGGCUGGGAGGAAGGAGAGGAUGACGCCAGGUCCGCAUGGCCCUUGAUGCCUUGGGCUACACACGUGAUACAAUGGUACUUACAACACGAAGCAAUACCGUAAGGUGGAGCAAAUCGUUAGAAAAAGUGCCUCAGUCCGGAUUGAGGUCUGCAACUCGACCUCAUGAAGUUGGAAUCGCUAGUAAUCGCAGGUCAGAAUACUGCGGUGAAUACGUUCUCGAGUCUUGUACUCACCGCCCGUCAAGUCAAGGGAGCCGGGAGUACCCGAAAGCUCACAUUUGUGGGACUACGGUAAGCUCGGUGACAGGGACUAAGUCGUAACAAGGCACGGCUAGCGGAAGCUGGUCGUGGAUUAACUCAAUU
rnacentral:rRNA from 1 species